rfam:Spirosoma linguale DSM 74, complete genome.
AUUCCCGAGGCUGAUCCAUUAGAAGAAGGAUUGAAAC